AUUGAACGCUGGCGGCAGGCCUAACACAUGCGAGUCGAGCGGAUGAAGGGAGCUUGCUCCUGGAUUCAGCGGCGGACGGGUGAGUAAUGCCUAGGAAUCUGCCUGGUAGUGGGGGAUAACGUCCGGAAACGGGCGCUAAUACCGCAUACGUCCUGAGGGAGAAAGUGGGGGAUCUUCGGACCUCACGCUAUCAGAUGAGCCUAGGUCGGAUUAGCUAGUUGGUGGGGUAAAGGCCUACCAAGGCGACGAUCCGUAACUGGUCUGAGAGGAUGAUCAGUCACACUGGAACUGAGACACGGUCCAGACUCCUACGGGAGGCAGCAGUGGGGAAUAUUGGACAAUGGGCGAAAGCCUGAUCCAGCCAUGCCGCGUGUGUAAAGAAGGUCUUCGGAUUGUAAAGCACUUUAAGUUGGGAGGAAGGGCAGUAAGUUAAUACCUUGCUGUUUUGACGUUACCAACAGAAUAAGCACCGGCUAACUUCGUG
rnacentral:rRNA from 1 species